CUAUUGCAGCAGGAACAGAACUCAACUGUAUGCCCAGAGGUGAUCAGGAGUUUUCUAGGGUGGGCAGUGGCGCCCCACUCCAGUCCUCUUGCCUAGAAAACCCCACGGACGGAGGAGCCUGGUGGGCUACAGGCCAUGGGGUCCGCACGAGUCAGUCGCGACUGAGCAACUUCACUUUCACUUUUCACUUUCACGCAAUGGAGAAGGAAAUGGCAACCCACUCCAGUGUUCUUGCCUGGAGAAUCCCAGGGACGGCAGAGCCUGGUGGGCUGCUGUCUAUGGGGUCGCACAGAGUCGGACACGACUGAAGCGACUUAGCAGCAGCAGCAGCAGGCUCUGUAGAGUUAGAGAAGCAAAGGGCUGUCCAGGGGUGGAAGGGGGUGGGCCUGGGAACCCAUCUGGGGGUUGUCUAACAGGAGGUGAUCCAGUUAGGUGCCGACCCUCACACAGAGGUUGGGAGACCAGGGCCUGUGGCAGGUUUUGGCUGGACAAACAGCAGAGUCUUCAGGCAGCCUCGGAUUUCCUCAGGCAGACAUUUUGGGGGGGUGGGGGGCUGGGGUCAUCCUAAGGAUGUGGCCUUGAGCAGUUAGAAACUGUGUUUGCAUCUUUCCAGGCCAACAGUGAGUGCAGAGAGGGCUGGGGGCGCCGGGCUGGAGUCUGGUCCCUUCGACUCUAGUUCCCACGGGACCGGUGUGAACCGAACGGUCGUCAAACCCUGAGGUUCCAUAACGUGUUCACUUUCUUAACUUUUAAAAUUCAUCAGAUCCCACGAGGUAAGGGGGGUGGCAGAGCCAGGACUGGCAACUCAGUCAGAUAAAUAACAUUUAAGUGUGAGAUCUUUUUUAAAAUGUGGUAAAAUAUACACAGCAUGAAAUUUACCACCUUAAUUAUUUCUACGUGUCCAGCUCCACCAUGUUACCCACUGUCCAUGGCUCUUUACAUCUUGCCAAACAGAAGCUCUGCCCCCUUUAAACGACUCCCCGCCCCCGACCCCUCCAACCAUACACUUUCUGUCUCUGUGAACUUGACUGUUCAGGUGCCUCAUACGAGUGAGAGGAAACAGUAUUUGCUCCUCUAUGUCUGUCUCACGUCACUAAUUAGUGCUAGUUCGUCUUCUUGGGGCUUUGCUCCUGACGAGUUUCUGGCCUGAAUGUGAAGGACUAGCCACCUGGAGGUGCUUGCUGAUUUGGCUUUAAGCCUGCCUCUGUCUUCGCCCACAGAGCAG
ensembl:lncRNA